UACAGAGGGAGCAAGCGUUAUCCGGAAUGAUUGGGCGUAAAGCGUCUGUAGGUGGUCCGAAAAGUCUAAUGUCAAAUCCAUUGGCUCAACCGAAGGCAGGCAUUGGAGUACUAUUGGACUAGAGUGCGGAAGAGGUAGAGGGAAUCCCUAGCGUAACAGUGAAAUGUGUAGAUUUUAGGGAGAACACCAGCGGCGAAGGCGCUCUACUGGGCCGAGACUGACACUGAGAGACGAAAGCUACGGGAGCGAAAAGG
rnacentral:rRNA from 1 species